rnacentral:rRNA from 1 species
UACGUAGGGUCCGAGCGUUGUCCGGAUUUAUUGGGCAUAAAGAGCUCGUAGGCGGUUCCGUAAGUCAGAUGUGAAAACUCAGGGCUCAACCCGGAGACGCCAUCUGAUACUGCGGUGACUGGAGUCUGGUAGGGGAACACGGAAUUCCUGGUGUAGCGGUGAAAUGCGCAGAUAUCAGGAGGAACACCGAUGGCGAAGGCAGUGUUCUGGGCCAGUACUGACGCUGAGGAGCGAAAGCGUGGGGAGCAAACAGG